ACGUCAAAAUGUCAGAAAAAGGAAGAAGCAGAACAGAAAUUACGUCAAAAUGUCAGAAAAAGGAAGAAGAAGAACAGAAUGACGUCAUUCUGGAUGGCAACAAGUGUCAGCUUCCUGGGCGAACUCGCAGAAGCCCCGUAACAUUGCCGUGCAUGCCAUAAAGGAGAGGCGUCUGCUCUUCUCGACAGAUGUCGGCAGCCAUCAGGCCAUCAUUCGGGCCCGAGUCAAUGGCAUGUGAGCAUGUGGAGCUGGAAGGAGUCACAGCGCUGGACCUGGACCAACAGUCCGAUAUACCAUGCGUUUCGAAUUACAGACAUCAAUGGGAAGAACAAAAAAAUCCUUGCUUCCAUAAACAUCUCGCAGGAGAUCUCGCAUUGCCGCCUUGGUAGAAGAGCGUCGUUCCGUGGAGCUGCAUCGUCUGUCGCAGUUCACCGACAUCCGGGCCGUGUGGACACCGGAUGCGAAAGUGCUGCGCAAUCACACGGCACAGUCGCCCAAAUUGUUUCCAUACCUG